AAAAUUCGGCCGUCUAAAUUGGAAAAACACCAUUUGUGAUCUUUUUGAAGCAAAGCUUCGUCCAGUGUAUCUUUAUCCUAUAGUAUGCGUUUUCAAGACGGAAAGUUCCAGCUGCAGAUUUAAGACACAUUGAAGUGUUGAGUGACACUCAGAUGGAAUCUACAGCAACAUUAGACUACAGUCUGUGAUGAUAUCCGAUUCUAUGAGACCUGAGUCUGUUUGUUAAAAUGGUGGCCAACGACCAUAUCAUAAGGCGAAGUACUGAGAACUGCACAGACUAAAUGGAUUACUGUAGGAAUCAAGAAGACAACAUUUUGACAAUGCAUAAAAGAUUCUACGCAAAUAAUUUUUAUCAACCUGUCCUUGAAAAUACAUCGUUUUUAUUUAAUUUUACUUUUCUGCAAAUUCUUCUCCAUAAUUAAAAUAAACGUUAAAAUUGAUCAUUCAUCGGCAUUA